rnacentral:rRNA from 1 species
UACGUAGGGACCGAGCGUUGUUCGGAUUCAUUGGGCGUGAAGGGCGCGUAGGCGGCGCGGUAAGUCGGGUGUGAAAUCUCGGAGCUUAACUCCGAAACUGCAUUCGAUACUGCCGUGCUUGAGGACUGGAGAGGAGACUGGAAUUUACGGUGUAGCGGUGAAAUGCGUAGAUAUCGUAAGGAAGACCAGUGGCGAAGGCGGGUCUCUGGACAGUUCCUGACGCUGAGGCACGAAGGCCAGGGGAGCAAACGGG